rnacentral:rRNA from 1 species
GUAACCUACCUCAUAGCGGGGGAUAACUAUUGGAAACGAUAGCUAAUACCGCAUAAGAGAGACUAACGCAUGUUAGUAAUUUAAAAGGGGCAAUUGCUCCACUAUGAGAUGGACCUGCGCUUGUAUUAGCGUAGUUGGUGAGGUAAAGGCUCACCAAGGCGACGAUACAUAGCCGACCUGAGAGGGUGAUCGGCCACACUGGGACUGAGACACGGCCCAGACUCCUACGGGAGGCAGCAGUAGGGAAUCUUCGGCAAUGGGGGCAACCCUGACCGAGCAACGCCGCGUGAGUGAAGAAGGUUUUCGGAUCGUAAAGCUCUGUUGUUAGAGAAGAAUGAUGGUGGGAGUGGAAAAUCCACCAAGUGACGGUAACUAACCAGAAAGGGACGGCUAACUACGUGCCAGCAGCCGCGGUAAUACGUAGGUCCCGAGCGUUGUCCGGAUUUAUUGGGCGUAAAGCGAGCGCAGGCGGUUUUUUAAGUCUGAAGUUAAAGGCAUUGGCUCAACCAAUGUACGCUUUGGAAACUGGAGAACUUGAGUGCAGAAGGGGAGAGUGGAAUUCCAUGUGUAGCGGUGAUAUGCGUAGAUAUAUGGAGGAACACCGGUGGCGAAAGCGGCUCUCUGGUCUGUAA